rnacentral:rRNA from 1 species
UACAGAGGGUGCGAGCGUUAAUCGGAAUUACUGGGCGUAAAGCGUGCGUAGACGGUUAUUUAAGUCGGGUGUGAAAGCCCCGGGCUCAACCUGGGAAUUGCAUUCGAGACUGAAUAGCUAGGGUACGGUAGAGGGAAGCGGAAUUUCCGGUGUAGCGGUGAAAUGCGUAGAUAUCGGAGGAACACCGGUGGCGAAAGCGGGUCUCUGGGCCGGAACUGACGCUGAGGAGCGAAAGCGUGGGGAGCGAGCAGG